rnacentral:sRNA from 1 species
GCAACCCGCCCAGAUGUUCAGCUCGCCCAGAGGCUGCCUCCUUGGAGAGAUUAUUUCAUUCAAUAUUUUUUAUGAAUUAUUUACCAUUUGUACUUCAAUAGUAGCAGAAGACAAAAAAGGUCAUCUAAUACACGGGAGAAACAUGGAUUUUGGAGUAUUUCUUGGGUGGAACAUAAAUAAUGAUACCUGGGUCAUAACUGAGCAACUAAAACCUUUAACAGUGAAUUUGGACUUCCGAAGAAACAACAAAACUGUCUUCAAGGCUUCAAGCUUUGCUGGCUAUGUGGGCAUGUUAACAGGAUUCAAACCAGGACUGUUCAGUCUUACACUGAAUGAACGUUUCAGUAUAAAUGGUGGUUAUCUGGGUGUUCUAGAAUGGAUUUUGGGAAAGAAAGAUGCCAUGUGGAUAGGGUUCCUCACUAGAACAGUUCUGGAAAAUAGCACAAGUUAUGAAGAAGCCAAGAAUUUAUUGACCAAGACCAAGAUAUUGGCCCCAGCCUACUUUAUCCUGGGAGGCAACCAGUCGGGGGAAGGUUGUGUGAUUACACGAGACAGAAAGGAAUCAUUGGAUGUAUAUGAACUCGAUGCUAAGCAGGGUAGGUGGUAUGUGGUACAAACAAAUUAUGACCGUUGGAAACAUCCCUUCUUCCUUGAUGAUCGCAGAACGCCUGCCAAGAUGUGUCUGAACCGCACCACCCAAGAGAAUAUCUCAUUUGAAACCAUGUAUGAUGUCCUGUCAACAAAACCUGUCCUCAACAAGCUGACCGUAUUCACAACCUUGAUAGAUGUUACCAAAGGUCAAUUCGAAACUUACCUGCGGGACUGCCCUGACCCUUGUAUAGGGUGGUGAGCACACAUCUGGCCUACAGAAUGCGGCCUCUGAGACAUGAAGACACCAUCUCCAUGUGACCGAACACUGCAGCUGUCUGACCUUCCAAAGACUAAGACUCAGGGCAGGUUCUCUUUGAGUCACAAGCUUGUCUUCCUCCAUCUGUUGACAAUUGACAGACUUUUUUUUUCCCCCCAUCAGUUGAUUUUUCUUAUUUACAGAUACUUCUUUAGGAGAAGUAAAACAAUCAUCUAGAAUUCAUUGAGUUUUGUUUCACUUUGACAUUUGGGGAUCUGGUGGGCAGUCGAACCAUGGUGAGCUCCACCUCCGUGGAAUAAAUGGAGAUUCAGCGUGGGUAUUGAAUCCAGCACAUCUGUGUGAGUAACGGAACAGUAAACACUCCACAUUCUUCAGUUUUUCACUUUUACUUACUAUUUGUAUGUUUUUCUGUAUAACAGCCUUUUCCUUCUGAUUCUAACUACUGUUAAAAUUAAUAUGUCAUUAUCUUUGCUGUUAUUGACGGCAAUAUAAUUUUAUUACAUAUGAUUAGAGGGAUGAGACAGACAUUCACCUGUAUAUUUCUUUUAAUGGGCACAGAAUGGGCCUUUGACUCUAAAUAGCACUUUUUGGGGUUCAAGAAGUAAUCAGUAUGCAAAGCAGUCUUUUAUACAAUAAUUGAAGUGUUCCCUUUUUCAUAAUUACUCUACCUCCCAGUAACCCUAAGGAAGUUGCUAACUUAAAAAACCGCAUCCCAGAUUCUGUGAAUUUAGUACAUAAACAAGUCAAAGACUUGUGGAAAAUAGGAAGUGAACUCAUAUUUUAAAUUCUCAUAAGUAGCAUUCAUGUAAUAAACAGGUUUUUAGUUUGUUCUUCAGAUUGAUAGGUAGUUUUAAAGAAAUUUUAGUAGUUACUAAAAUUAUGUUACUUUAUUUUUCAGAAAUCAAACUACUUAUGAAAAUUACUAAUAGAACUUGUUAACCUUUCUAACCUUCACGAUUAACUGUGAAAUGUAUGCCAUUUGUGCAAGACCAUGUGUCCACUUCAUUUUGUAUAAUCAC